rnacentral:rRNA from 1 species
AUUGAACGCUGGCGGCAUGCUUUACACAUGCAAGUCGAACGGUAACAGGCCGCAAGGUGCUGACGAGUGGCGAACGGGUGAGUAAUGCAUCGGAACGUGCCCAGUCGUGGGGGAUAACGCAGCGAAAGCUGCGCUAAUACCGCAUACGAUCUAUGGAUGAAAGCGGGGGACCGAAAGGCCUCGCGCGAUUGGAGCGGCCGAUGUCAGAUUAGGUAGUUGGUGGGGUAAAGGCUCACCAAGCCAACGAUCUGUAGCUGGUCUGAGAGGACGACCAGCCACACUGGGACUGAGACACGGCCCAGACUCCUACGGGAGGCAGCAGUGGGGAAUUUUGGACAAUGGGCGCAAGCCUGAUCCAGCAAUGCCGCGUGCAGGAAGAAGGCCUUCGGGUUGUAAACUGCUUUUGUAUGGAACGAAAAGGCUCUGGUUAAUACCUGGGGCCCAUGACAGUACCGUAAGAAUAAGCACCGGCUAACUACGUGCCAGCCGCCGCAGUAAUAC